GACGAACGCUGGCGGCGUGCUUAACACAUGCAAGUCGAACGGUGAAGCGCCUUCCUUUUUGGUGGGUGUGGAUGAGUGGCGAACGGGUGAGUAACACGUGAGUAACCUGCCCCCUUCUUCUGGAUAACCGCAUGAAAGUGUGGCUAAUACGGGAUAUUCUGGGUCUGUCGCAUGAUGGGUCUGGGAAAGAUAUUGUUUCGGUGGGGGAUGGGCUCGCGGCCUAUCAGCUUGUUGGUGGGGUGAUGGCCUACCAAGGCGGUGACGGGUAGCCGGCCUGAGAGGGUGGACGGGCACACUGGGACUGAGACACGGCCCAGACUCCUACGGGAGGCAGCAGUGGGGAAUAUUGCACAAUGGGCGCAAGCCUGAUGCAGCGACGCCGCGUGAGGGAUGGAGGCCUUCGGGUUGUGAACCUCUUUCGCCAGUGAAGCAGGCCUGCCUCGUUUGUGGGUGGGUUGACGGUAGCUGGAGAAGAAGCGCCGGCUAACUACGUG
rnacentral:rRNA from 1 species